UGGAUGCUGAGAUACACAUGGAAAUAUCCAGAAAGAAGUUCUCUCUUUUUUAAAAACAUUUUAUUGAAGUAUAGUUGAUUUACAAUGUUGUAUUAAUUUCUACUGCACAGCAAAGUAAUUCAGUUCUAGAUACAUGUACAUUCUUUUUCAUAUUCUUUCCAUGAUGGUUUAUCACAGGAUACUGAAUAUAGUUCCCUGUACUAUACGUGCAUGCUAAGUCACUUCAGUCGUGUCUGAUUCUUUGCAACCCUAUGGACUGUAGACUGCCAGGCUCCUCUGUCCAUGAGAUUCUCCAGGCAAGAAUAUUGGAGUGGAUUGUCAUUUCCUUCUCCAAGGGAUCUGCCCAACUCAGGGAUCAAAAUCGAGUCUCCUGUCUCCUGCAUUGGCAGGUGAGUCCUUUACUACUAGUGCCAUCUGGGAAGCCCAUCUGUACUAAUCAGUAGGACCUUGUUUAUCCAUUCUGAAUGUAAUAGUUUGCAUCUGUUAAUCCCAGACUCAGAAGAAAAUUCUUGAGCCUCCACCAGUCAGUGCUUAGGAUGCCAUCCUUGGGCCCAGCACAUGUCUCACUGAAGUCUCAGGCCUCCUGUGAGGGCUGCACUGGAAAUGGACUCGACCCAACAGGAAGUGGGGCAGGUGAUGCCUGGGGGCUCCAAGGGAAGGCACCUGUGCCCAGGCCAAGCCCAAGGCAUGAGGCAUGGCUGCUCAGGAGAGCUGGUCCCAGGGAGGACUCAACAAAACUGGUAUGGGAGUGCUCCCUUGUCCCUCUGCCUGGGCUCCCCCACUCCCUGUGA
ensembl:lncRNA